rnacentral:rRNA from 1 species
GACGAACGCUGGCGGCGUGCUUAACACAUGCAAGUCGAACGGAAAGGCCCCUUUGGGGUUACUCGAGUGGCGAACGGUUGUGUAACACUUGAGUAACCUUCCCUUGCCUUCGGGAUAACUUCAGUAAACUGGGGCUAAUACCGGAUAGGCAUCUUUGCUGCAUGGUGGGGGUUGGAAAGCUUCUGCGGUUUUGGAUGGACUCGCGGCUUAUCAGCUUGUUGGGGGGGUAGUGGCUUACCGAGGCUUUGACGGGUAGCCGGCCUGAGAGGGCGACCGGCCACAUUGGGACUGAGAUUCGGCCCAGGCUCCGACGGGAGGCAGAAGGGGGGAAUAGUGCACAAGGGGCAGAAGCCAGAUGCAGCAGCGCCGCGGGCGGGAUAACGGCCUUGGGGUUGGAAACCGCAUUCAGCAGGAGCGAAGCUUGUGGUGACGGUACCUGAAGAAGAAGCACCGGCUAACUACGUG